rnacentral:rRNA from 1 species
ACACAUGCAAGUCGAGGGGCAGCAUAAUGGAUAGCAAUAUCUAUGGUGGCGACCGGCGCACGGGUGCGUAACGCGUAUGCAACCUACCUUUAACAGGGGGAUAACACUGAGAAAUUGGUACUAAUACCCCAUAAUAUCAUAGAAGGCAUCUUUUAUGGUUGAAAAUUCCGAUGGUUAGAGAUGGGCAUGCGUUGUAUUAGCUAGUUGGUGGGGUAACGGCUCACCAAGGCGACGAUACAUAGGGGGACUGAGAGGUUAACCCCCCACACUGGUACUGAGACACGGACCAGACUCCUACGGGAGGCAGCAGUGAGGAAUAUUGGUCAAUGGACGCAAGUCUGAACCAGCCAUGCCGCGUGCAGGAUGACGGCUCUAUGAGUUGUAAACUGCUUUUGUACGAGGGUAAACGCAGAUACGUGUAUCUGUCUGAAAGUAUCGUACGAAUAAGGAUCGGCUAACUCCGUGCCAGCAGCCGCGGUAAUACGGAGGAUUCAAGCGUUAUCCGGAUUUAUUGGGUUUAAAGGGUGCGUAGGCGGUUUGAUAAGUUAGAGGUGAAAUUUCGGGGCUCAACCCUGAACGUGCCUCUAAUACUGUUGAGCUAGAGAGUAGUUGCGGUAGGCGGAAUGUAUGGUGUAGCGGUGAAAUGCUUAGAGAUCAUACAGAACACCGAUUGCGAAGGCAGCUUACCAAACUAUAUCUGACGUUGAGGCACGAAAGCGUGGGGAGCAAACAGGAUUAGAUACCCUGGUAGUCCACGCAGUAAACGAUGAUAACUCGUUGUCGGCGAUACACAGUCGGUGACUAAGCGAAAGCGAUAAGUUAUCCACCUGGGGAGUACGUUCGCAAGAAUGAAACUCAAAGG